rnacentral:lncRNA from 1 species
UAGAUACAGAUAUUUCAAUCGUUUAUUAAACCCGUAAGGUACAAAGAAGUUAGUGUGCAGAAUUCCUUUUUGGUUGCACCGCUAACCGACCUUGAUCUCUUGAGAAGGAUUUGGGUGUGAGUAUGUUUGUCAGGACCUGAAAGAUGGUGAAAUAUGGCUGAGCUGGGUGAAGGUAGAGUAAACUCUAGUGGAGGUUCGCAGCUAUACUAACAUUCAAAUCAUUUGUCUGACUUGAGUAUAGGGGCAAAAGACUAAUCAAAUCGUCUAGUAGCUGGUUUCAUUCAAAGUUUUCCUUAGAAUAGCUGGAGCCCAUGAACGAGUUCUAUCGAGUAAAGUCAAUUAUUAUAGGCAUUGGCACAACAUCCUCAAUCUAUUCUCAAACUUUAAAUAGGUAGGAUAGCUUGGUUUCUUUGUUGAACCACGCCAUGAAAUCGAGAGCUCAAAAUAGACAACUUUUGGUAAGCAAAACUAGAGAUGCACGAUGAAAUGGAAGAUGAGUUACAGUGUCCAACAACACAUUAACCUAGAGAAAAAGCCUGACAUAUCCCUACCAGCGUAGGGAAGAGUACACACUCUAUUA